GCCCCUCAGGCGAGCUCCCCAGCGUGUCCACCAGCGGACUCUCUCUUGCCAAGGAGACCGUGAGGUCCUCAGUUCAGCAAAAAGGUUAUGAGCACCCAGCAAUCAUGAGGCUCUGGGCUAAAGCUGGGAGUCAUUAGAGGGCAACUCGGGAUAUAAAGCCAAAUGCCUAAUUAAAAUUUUUGAACAAGAACUCUUUGUGGAGGGCAUCUCUCUCACUUGCUACUGACCACCCUGCUGCUUUGAGGUCGUGUAUGAUCUGCUUCCGCUCCUCUGGCGUCAACCGGUACCAGGAGUAGGAUUAUUCUUCCCAUGUUACCGAUGGAGACAUGAGGCCUAGUGCAAGAGAUGCCUGCUGAGAGUUCGUCCUCUUGUGUCCAGAGAGGGAACACCACAAGGAGCCCAAUUUCUGCUCACCAGCCCAGGACUGUGCCCCUCACCCCAUCCACAGUAAAAAUAAAAUCUGGGGCUGGAAAUCACCAGGACAGCAGCUGUAGCUCAACCCCAGGGCCUACCUGAGGACACCUUUGGAGGAAGCUGUGGGAACAACUACACAGGCAGAAAGAAGGACUUAAAUGCUACCAGUAUUCAUGAUACUACAAAUAGAAAAACACUCACCAUGUGCACCAAGAGAGAAAUACCAAAUUAAUUGUUUGAAAGCCAUGCCAUCAAAGCCUACAGUGGCAGGUAAUGCAGCUUCCACUCCAUGGAAAUGGCUCCAAACUGGCAAACAAUGCCUCGAUACACUGGAAUCACAGCUCAUGAGCAGAAAGGGGAUGAAAACUGGAAAACACACAGCAAAUAUUGCAGGACUGUGCACCAAGAGAAAGCUGGGAUAAUUAUAAGAUCCAAAUAAACCUGAAAGAUGCAAGAGAGAGUGUAAAAACAGACAAAGGUGCUCACCAAGAGAAGGAUGGUUUUAGGAGCUUUGGACUCAGGAUAUGACCUGGAGGAGACCUUGGUACCUGUCACACCUGCUGCUUGUGUCUGUACAAGACCAAAACCAUGAAGCUGCUGGCCCAGAGCAUGAGCCUCAGAGAGAACAUGUCAGGGAAUGACAGCAGUGAUAUAUGCAGUAUGUCACUGGUUUUGUCAUGAUGAAGAGAAAAACAGUAUU